rnacentral:rRNA from 1 species
AACGAACGCUGGCGGCAUGCCUAACACAUGCAAGUCGAACGAGACCUUCGGGUCUAGUGGCGCACGGGUGCGUAACGCGUGGGAACCUGCCCUUAGGUUCGGAAUAACUCCCCGAAAGGGGUGCUAAUACCGGAUAAUGUCUUCGGACCAAAGAUUUAUCGCCUUUGGAUGGGUCCGCGUUGGAUUAGCUAGUUGGUAGGGUAAAAGCCUACCAAGGCGAUGAUCCAUAGCUGGUCUGAGAGGAUGAUCAGCCACACUGGGACUGAGACACGGCCCAGACUCCUACGGGAGGCAGCAGUGGGGAAUAUUGGACAAUGGGCGAAAGCCUGAUCCAGCAAUGCCGCGUGAGUGAUGAAGGCCUUAGGGUUGUAAAGCUCUUUUACCCGGGAUGAUAAUGACAGUACCGGGAGAAUAAGCGCCGGCUAACUCCGUG